GAAGUGCCCGGUUUCGCUGUCAGUGCUCGGGCAGCUAGAAUCCAGGUCCCUUGAGGAAUAAUUUAAGAAGGGGUGGAGAAAAAUUAGGGGGCGUCUUCAAAUAUUCAGAGAGUCAGCGAGGUAAAGAGGACUUGGGCAGGUCUGUGUAGCAACGGGGGCGGGAAUCAUUCAUUGACGCAUGAAGUAUUUCCUGAGCUCCCACCACGUAAGACCAAGUUUUGUUCUAGAUG
rnacentral:lncRNA from 1 species